AUUGAACUUCUUAAUGCUUUGGAUGUGGUCUUCAGCAUGUGACUUGUUUGUGAGGAGGAUAGUAAGGGUUUUUAUGUACUACAGAAAGAACCAUUAAUUGCUUUUCUAUGUCACAGACCUUUGGUGUUGGACCUGCGUACCUAAACAUGCAAGGCUGGAGGUUUACCUGCACUCUCAGAAGCUGUGUCUAUGCUAUGACCUUUAGAUGGCAGAGCUAUCAUGCUUGGAGAUGUAGAGAGCUUCAGAACUUGAGUUGGUAAAGGCUUAGUGAGCACCUAGAUGAGCUUCUCCAUGGGCAGACGUUGAUGGGUGGGUUGGAGGAACAUCUACGCCUGGCAGCACAGUGAACUGGAGAAGCUGUCCCAUGGUUGGGAUCACCUGGUGUAAUGACCAUACUGAUGGGAUGCUUCUGGGGUAAAGGCAACCAGGUGGAAGCACAUCCACAUUGAGAGUGGCUGCUGUUUUCAACGACAACGCCUGACUGACUUCACCUUCCAGCGGUGGAUGGGACAUCCUAAACCACAGGCUGAAUCCUGUUCCCUCACCCUUUGUGCACCAAAACCUGAUCUCCCCAUGCAGGAAGGGUUUCUGCUCUUUGCUGAUGUCUUUGUCCAGGCUGCAGCAGCUUCUGCUGUUUUCCUGCUUGUUUUACCAACCUCAGUAAUAAUGACCUGCUUUUAUUUUUUGUUUUCCCCUGGGUUAGCAACACCUCUUGGUUUAGCAACACCUGGAAAAGCAACUAAAGGCCUGCUCUGCCCAUCUCUACCCUCACAGCCUGGCUCGGCAUGCACCAGGAAUGGAUCGGAGUGGGAUGCUCUCAGCGUUGGUCCAGGGAACACUUUCUGGUCUGGUGAGCCGGGCUCUUCAAAGUGCAGACUCAACCUCAAAGCAUUUUUUUUCCAGCCUGCCUUUGCCUCCUGCCCUGAACCCAAGAGAUGUUUACAAAGGGAAGGCACAAAGGUGCUGUGACAGGGGAUGGAUAACUACUAUUUACCGCCUGGAUCCCAAGGCACACAUCACCAAGUCUGCAGCUAGCACUGCUCAAGCGAUGCAUUGUAUUCGCUAGCACAAGGAUGAUCCCAGCACGGACAAAAGAAAUCUCCCCCUGGGUCAAGAGAAGUGGAAGAUGAAAGAUGAGAGUGACACACGUGCCUAAUUUACCUUCAGGAGCAAUAUUUUGUGGGUCUUUGUAUGGGAAAAUGUGAGGCAUUGGUGAGGGCGCAUCUGGAAUAUCUCCUGCAGGCUGGAUCAGUCGUGUCCAUGAAUGAGGCAUUCAGAGCAGGCAGGUGCUGGGAAGUGCCAGGACAUGGGCAGGAGGAUGGAGAACUUGUCAUCCCAGGGCAGGCUGCAGAGCUGGGCCUUUUUUAGCUCAGCACAACAGCGGCGAGAGGGGAAACGAGUGCCGCCGCACACCAAAGGUAAAAAUAGCUGGGAGCAAAAAGAAACACUGGAGUGAAAGAAAAAAAAUGUUGGCACGAGAACAAGUAGGUUUUAAUUGGCCUGGAGUAAAUUUAGUCUGGAAAUUAGAUGAAGUUUCCUAAGCAUCAGAUCAGCAAAGUCCUGGAACAGACUUCCAGGGACUGUGAAAACAGGGCUUGCUCAGAUGACAAAUAGGUUUGUGUGUGGCAGCUCUGAGAACAGGAGCUCAGCGUGGUAAGCUGCAGGCCCAAACCCUGUGCACCCACAUUUCUGGGGAGAUAUAAAGAUAUAAAAAGCGAUAACAACAAGGUAGAGCUGCAAGGCAGCAGUGGUCGAUGCACAGGUGAAGAAAUACCCCACCAUGGGGAGCUGCCUGGUCCAUCUUCCUUGUAAGCUUGCAAGCUCUACCAAAUUUCUAAAAAAGUGAUUUUUUUUGCCUGAUUUGGAUGGUUGUAACCCACCUGCACUCUCUGUCAUUUCUUCCCUGCUGAGCUGCCAACCAGGUGAGAUACAAUCACACAAUUUUCUGGGAAAGAGAUGAAGACUGGGAAAAUCACUGCCUGGUCUGUUAAAUUGCAGCUGUGAUAAUCGGAUUAUCUGCUCCAUCCAGCAUUACCAAGAUAAGAGGCACACAAGCUGUGGACUUGGACAUGAGCUGCCCCACAGUUUGCUGAGGGCUUUGCAAAUCCAAGAUUUUGCUUCAAGUCCAUCUCCUGCAGAUGCCUCUCUGCCCACUUUAAACCAGUUGGAUGUGAUUGCCCACAGGACAAAAUCCCAGAAGCCAAGAAAAUGGAACCAGGAGCCUUAAAUGCAUCUUGAGAAGUGUCUUUGGCACCAAGAUGCCUGUUGACAGCCUGGGAGCCUCUGUGCAUGAAUGAUGUGCAGCUGGAGAGAGGGGCUGGGACAUGAGAAGGGGAAGUGCUCUGCUGCCCAGCUUGGCCCUCCCCAUCUCGGGGGUCUUCAGCCAACACGGUGAAGCUUAAGACUUCAUGAAAACGUGUGCUGUGUUCAGGUUCCCCCUCCUCCUUUCCAAGAAGAAAAAACCAAAACAACACAAAACAAAAAAAAGACCCCAAAUGACACAUUUCUAUCAGCAGGAAAAAUAUCACUCUGGGCAAAAACUAUAAUAUAGUCUAGCACCAGCAUAAACACAAGAAUGAUCCAUUCACCUUUCUUUAGUAAUAUCAAGAUGAAUUUUGGAGAAGAAACUAUGUGGUUCAGGUGCUUGUAUAACCCAUGCUGAUGGGCUCUAGCCCCACAACUCUCGAGGAUAGUGCCGUUCAUUUUCCUGCAAAGACUGUUGAUGAAUCUUCCCUUCCACAUUGCAGCCAACUCAUCCAAAUUCCUCAGUAAAUAUUGGUCCUGGUUGCUGUCUGCAAGGGGUAAAUCAGUGUCAUAAAUCAUCCCACGGAGUGUAGGGGGUGGAAGAGGAGUUUGAAAGAAGUAGAGAUGCUGUUGCAACACCAGAUGUCAACCCAAGGUAUCUCUGUCCCAUCUCCACAGUCCCCGUUUAAGCCACGCUUCCUUUGAUGGUCAUUUCUUAGGUCCUUCCCCACCAGGAUGCAGGACAUGGGUGAGAUAUCCGAGCUGGACACCCCUCUCCUCACCCACCCCAGUCCCCAGCUGGAUGGGUCUGAGUCCCCACAGAGCUUUUGAGCAGAGCAGUGAUUUCUCCAGAUGUCAUACACGGGAGAGCUGUGAAGAAUUCUGGUUUUUAGUGACUUGGUUGACUUGUCUCUGUGUGUCUUUGAUGUAAUUCAACCUCAGGGUGCUUCUCUCGCUGGUGUCUGACCGAGAGAGCUACAGGACUGCUUCCAGAAUUCCCUCCUCCCCCCAUUUAUCCUGUGCAGUCUGGAGCAGCAGGUCCCUGGAAAAGCCAUUGGAAAGCAAACUUGCUCUGGUGCCUACUAUAAAAUUUGGUUCUGUUCAGAUUAACUCUGAAUUCUAGACAUUCAAAACCAACGUGAGUGGUUUAAAAGCCAUUUAUCUGCACAGUGAUGAAAGGACAAAAUUCCUUGGCAAGGCUGGAGGCUCCCUUUCAUAUCUCAUAUACUUUAACUACCACAUUUACAAUGCCUGUAGUACCUUACUUUUUACAUUCUGUACUUGUUAUUUUCCACUUCUUCUGCAGCAGUCAGAGCACAUAAACCCACACUUACCUUCAUGAGGGAGGUGAGAUAUCAGUACCGAUUUGGAGAUCCAUGCUUUGGAUGAAUCAGCAGCACAACACCUCUCCUGGCAUUUCGUCAUUCCCUCUCCAACACACAUAGAUAGGAAUUUGAACACUGACUAUUGACUGUGGCUUCAUUUCAGCUCUUAUUCAACCAUAGGUGGGGGUUACUCGGGAGCCACUGGUCAGAUAUAUCCCUAGAUCCCUAGUGCAACACAGCUGGCUUUUAAAAAAAUACUACUUUAAUACUGUCUGGGCUGCUGUUCCCAUAUAAGACAAGAAAUUAAAAAGAGCUCCUGCACUGAAGAGCUUGCCUUGCUAUAGAUUGGUGGGUGUCUCCCCCUCUUCCCCCCCCCCCCCCAAACAAACAAACAAAAACAAUAAUAACAACAACAACAAAAAACAAACAAAUGAAAAAAAGGAAUGUUUGCAUUGAACAUGAAAGAUUCAUGUUUGUUUCUGGAAGGUCCCUGUCUAAAAAAGACCACAAAGCAAAGAAAAAGAAAAUGCAGAGGAAAUAAAGAUGAUGAAUGAAAGAGCUGAAUAGCGGGA
rnacentral:lncRNA from 1 species